UACGUAUGUGGAACGCGUUGUUCGGAGUUACUGGCCGUAAAGGGCGCGUAGGCGGAUUCGUAAGUCAGAGGUGAAAGCCCUGGGCUCACCCCGGGAAAUGCCUUUGGAACUGCGAGUCUUGAGUGCGGGAGAGGAUGGCUGAAUACCCAGUGUAGAGGUGAAAUUCGUAGAUAUUGGGUAGAACCCCGGUGGCGAAUGAGGCCAUCUGGCCCGUAACUGACGCUGAGGCGCGAAAGCGUGGGGAGCAAACAGG
rnacentral:rRNA from 1 species